UUCUGUUUUAUUCAUUUCAGGAGGAAACCUCUCGGAAAAGCAGCCUCAACGAAACAGGUCAGAAAGUGUCGGUGACUGGAGGCAGCCUCUCGAUGGGACAUUUCAACUGCACUUUACCGUUUGCAGUGUGGAGAGAAUAUAUUGACACUGUUAAAUCUGACUCUGUGACCCUGGAUGAGGAUAGCGCGCAUCCGGAGCUCGAGGUGUCCGGCAGCCUGAUGAAUGUGAGAUUGACCGGGGUCAGGAGAAGCCUCCGCAACAACAGGAAGAGGUUUAUGGAAUGUCUCAAUGCGCUGUG